rnacentral:tRNA from 1 species
GCCUGGGUGGCUAAGGCGGUUAAGUGUCCGACUUCAGCUCAGGACAUGAUCUCACGGUUUGUGGGUUCAAGCCCCGCAUCAGGCU